GGUGAAACUAAAUUUCGACAGUUAACUGCAGCCGGUUUCUUCAGAAUUCGGCAGUUAACUGCCGAGGGGUAU
rnacentral:pre_miRNA from 1 species